UGAUGUGAGGGCGAUCUGGCUGCGACAUCUGUCACCCCAUUGAUCGCCAGGGUUGAUUCGGCUGAUCUGGCUGGCUAGGCGGGUGUCCCCUUCCUCCCUCACCGCUCCAUGUGCGUCCCUCCCGAAGCUGCGCGCUCGGUGGAAGAGGACGACGUCCCAGGUAUAGAAGGAGUGUACCGAGGUCUCCAGUCUUCGGUCCCGGGUAUACGAUAGCUGGCACAGUGUGUUAAAGCACUGAGCUGCCGAACUUGCGGACCAAAAGGUUGGGAACCACUGAUGUAGAUGGAUCCCAUCUGU
rnacentral:snRNA from 1 species